rnacentral:rRNA from 1 species
AGAGUUUGAUCCUGGCUCAGAUUGAACGCUGGCGGCAGGCCUAACACAUGCAAGUCGAACGGUAACAGGAAGAAGCUUGCUUCUUUGCUGACGAGUGGCGGACGGGUGAGUAAUGUCUGGGAAACUGCCUGAUGGAGGGGGAUAACUACUGGAAACGGUAGCUAAUACCGCAUAACGUCGCAAGACCAAAGAGGGGGACCUUCGGGCCUCUUGCCAUCGGAUGUGCCCAGAUGGGAUUAGCUAGUAGGUGGGGUAACGGCUCACCUAGGCGACGAUCCCUAGCUGGUCUGAGAGGAUGACCAGCCACACUGGAACUGAGACACGGUCCAGACUCCUACGGGAGGCAGCAGUGGGGAAUAUUGCACAAUGGGCGCAAGCCUGAUGCAGCCAUGCCGCGUGUAUGAAGAAGGCCUUCGGGUUGUAAAGUACUUUCAGCGGGGAGGAAGGGAGUAAAGUUAAUACCUUUGCUCAUUGACGUUACCCGCAGAAGAAGCACCGGCUAACUCCGUGCCAGCAGCCGCGGUAAUACGGAGGGUGCAAGCGUUAAUCGGAAUUACUGGGCGUAAAGCGCACGCAGGCGGUUUGUUAAGUCAGAUGUGAAAUCCCCGGGCUCAACCUGGGAACUGCAUCUGAUACUGGCAAGCUUGAGUCUCGUAGAGGGGGGUAGAAUUCCAGGUGUAGCGGUGAAAUGCGUAGAGAUCUGGAGGAAUACCGGUGGCGAAGGCGGCCCCCUGGACGAAGACUGACGCUCAGCCCCCAAAGCGUGGGGAGCAAACAGGAUUAGAUCCCCUGGUAGUCCACGCCGUAAAAGAUGUUGACUUGGAGGUUGUGCCCUUGAGGCGUGGCUUCCGGAGCUAACGCGUUAAGUCGACCGCCUGGGGAGUACGGCCGCAAGGUUAAAACUCAAAUGAAUUGACGGGGGCCCGCACAAGCGGUGGAGCAUGUGGUUUAAUUCGAUGCAACGCGAAGAACCUUACCUGGUCUUGACAUCCACAGAACUUUCCAGAGAUGGAUUGGUGCCUUCGGGAACUGUGAGACAGGUGCUGCAUGGCUGUCGUCAGCUCGUGUUGUGAAAUGUUGGGUUAAGUCCCGCAACGAGCGCAACCCUUAUCCUUUGUUGCCAGCGGUCCGGCCGGGAACUCAAAGGAGACUGCCAGUGAUAAACUGGAGGAAGGUGGGGAUGACGUCAAGUCAUCAUGGCCCUUACGACCAGGGCUACACACGUGCUACAAUGGCGCAUACAAAGAGAAGCGACCUCGCGAGAGCAAGCGGACCUCAUAAAGUGCGUCGUAGUCCGGAUUGGAGUCUGCAACUCGACUCCAUGAAGUCGGAAUCGCUAGUAAUCGUGGAUCAGAAUGCCACGGUGAAUACGUUCCCGGGCCUUGCACUCACCGCCCGUCA